rnacentral:misc_RNA from 1 species
UACAAUUUAUGUGUGCGAAAUGUCAGAGUUUCGACGUUGUCAUAGGUUUUCGUCUGCUCAACUCACAUCACUCAAAUUAAUUGUUUGUCAAAUUGCAGAGAUAGAUAAUUAGAUACAGAUUUUUCAACAUUUCAAGCAGUAUUCUUCAAAUUGCCUCAUAUUAAUAAGAUAUGUCUUUCAGAAAAGUGCCUGGAUUUUAUCGUAAAAAACAUCGAUAAAUUUUCUAUGAAAUCGGGCAGGGAACCACUAGAGGAAAUCGGUUCAGACAUUUGUAACAGUCCCUGUGAUCAAUUACCCUCUUUUCUGUUGGACAAGCUUGUAAUGAUGUUGAUGGAGACUUGUCGUCUAGACAAGAAAUGUCUAGAGUUUCUAAUAUCUACCAACCUUUGGACUUUGGAUCUAUCCCAGUGCCAACAACAAGAAAGGGCUCACCUGUUGUGCAUUGGGUCAAUCAGAAGUCAGAAUCUGAAAACACUAAAGCUUGGAUGUGGUCACAUAGAUCCAGAAUUUUUAAAUUGCAUUUCCAAAUUUAAAUGUUUGCAAUUUCUGGAAUUUUCCCAAUGCUCAGACGGGGACAAAAUAAUGAUAAUUCUUGGAGCUCAUUGCACAGAUUUGAGAGGAGUAAUUCGAGUGAACACUUCGACUGAACAAAGGCCUGCGUAUAACAGACGGUACUAUGCAGAGUGAGCAGGGCAACACCUUUCGUCGUAAAAGCCGCAUGCUGUGGAUAACAACCGGAGAACGCAGAAAGGUAACUCGGAUUGAAGAACGAGGAAAACAAAAGAUAAUGUCAGCAGAAGUUCGUGUGGGCUGGCCAACCCUGGGUUCCCGUGACAAUAGAGGUCAUAGGAAACGUUACCUAAAAGUGUCAGGUGGUGGUGUAGAGGUUGGGUGAGAAAGACACGUGUCUACACCAUUAUCAAGUAGGUAGAAUUGCCGCAAGGCUUGAGUUGAAAGUUGAGUCAGGGUGAGAAAAAAUCGUAUAAAAGGAGAGAGAAAAGGGCCACAGGAAUCAGUCGAGUGAGCCUCUCCGGCACGGCAACAUCUGAAUCCAAUUCGCAAUCACGGUUAAUUACGGCGUCGUCCUGCUGUUGGUUGUUGUAUCGUGUGGCUGUGUCGACGACUGGUGUACCGAUGUCUCCUGGGUAUGGCGGCUGCUAAACCGCAACGCCGCCGCCUUACUACGCAACAACAACAUAAGCAACGACCAUUUACUACACCAAGGCACCGGAGUACUUCACGACUAGGUAUGCCGCUCACCUAAGCUCCGAAGUAUUAUGCUGCCCCUAGCUACACCACUUAAACGCCGAGUACUACACCGAGGCUGGAUAGAGGAUGGGUGAGAACGCCACGCGUUACAUCAUUAUCAAGCAGGCUACAAUAACCGUAGUCAACUACUGCGUCGCGCUGCUGUUGGGUGUUGUAUCGUUGAUGGCUGGGUCGACCACGAGUGUACCGAUGUCUCCUGGGUGUGGCGGAUUCCAAACAACAACGACGAAGGAAUACUACACUUCGACGACGCCUUACUACACAACAACAACGUAUGCAAUACCUUACUACACCGAGACUCCGAAGUACUACACCACCAAUGCUCCAAAGUAUUGCUUAACUUAUGCUGCCCCGAGCUACUACACCGAAGACCCGAAGUAUGACUGCCCCGAGCUACACCGCCAAAGCGCCUGAGUGCUACACUACUACGUAUGCCGCUCCAGUUUAGUAAACCGAAGGCUCUUAAGUACUACACCGAGGUUUCCAAGUACUACUCUGCUCCCAGCUACUACACCGAGGUUCCAGCUUACAACAUCGAGGCUCCCAAGUACUUUUUUCUCCCAGCUACUAUACCAAGGCUCCCGUUCAUUACACCACCGAAGCGGAUGAACACUACACCGAAGCGCCCAAGUACUACUCUGCCCCGAGCUACACAACCAUAACUGAUGCUGUUAAGUAAAUUAUCGUGACCCGACUUACUACACAGUAGCUCCAGUUUACUACACCACAACCUACGCUACACCUUUACUACACUGGAGCUGAAAAGUACUACACCGAGAGGUCCUAAUACUUCACCACCACAUAUGCUGCCUUAGUUUACUAUACCGAGGAAUUCAAGUGUUACUCUGCUCCCAGCUACCACCAAACCGAGGUUCCUGUUUACUACACCACCAAGGCACCCCAGUUUUGUACUGCUCCUUACGCUGCUCCGACCUACUACACAGAAUCUCCUAAGUAUAACUCUACCCCGAGUUACUACUCCAGUAAGGCACCUGAUGCUACACCACAACCUACGCUUAUCCAGCUUAUUACAAGGAAGUUUUAUUAGGUUGUGUUUAGAUUUGUUGGUCACAUAGUCAGUUUAGUUUUGGUUUGGUCACUGGGAUUUGAUUGUUUAUCUUUGACUGAGAAAAUAAACUUUUGAAUGCGAA